AUUGAACGCUGGCGGCAGGCUUAACACAUGCAAGUCGAGCGGCGAUGAGGUGCUUGCACCUUAUCUUAGCGGCGGACGGGUGAGUAGUGCUUAGGAAUCUGCCUCUUAGUGGGGGACAACAUUCCGAAAGGAAUGCUAAUACCGCAUACGUCCUACGGGAGAAAGCAGGGGAUCUUCGGACCUUGCGCUAAUAGAUGAGCCUAAGUCGGAUUAGCUAGUUGGUGGGGUAAAGGCCUACCAAGGCGACGAUCUGUAGCGGGUCUGAGAGGAUGAUCGGCCACACAGAGACUGAGACACGGCCCAGACUCCUACGGGAGGCAGCAGUGGGUAAGAUUGGUCAAGGAGUGGAACCCUGAUCCAGCCAGGCAGGGUGUGUGAAGAAGGCCUUAUGGUUGUAAAGCACUUUAAGCGAGGAGGAGGCUACUGAGACUAAUACUCUUGGAUAGUGGACGUUACUCGCAGAAUAAGCACCGGCUAACUCUGUGCCAGCAGCCGCCGCAG
rnacentral:rRNA from 1 species